GGGGAUGUGGCGGAACUGGCAUACGCGUACGCUUCAGGAGCGUAUGGACGAAAGUCCUUGAGGGUUCAACUCCCUCCAUCCCCA
rnacentral:tRNA from 1 species